GGUACAACCCUAGUAAAAAUUGGUAUUGAGAGAUGUUGCUUUUUCUUUGAUGAACAAAAAUAGCGUUUUCAUGCCUCUGCUGCUACGCCCCCUAUAUAGAGUUUGGGAUAUAGAAUUGCCUAUGGGAAGAAAGCAUCAGUACUUCUUCCUGAGCUAGGAGGAGAAUAGUGCUUGAAUGUAUUUUGUAGAGCUUAUGAAAGCCCUAGAAGCUGACUUCCUUCCUUGCCUAGAGAUAACUUGGGUUCAAAACUACCCACAGGCACAUUUGGUGGGUUCUGGAAAGCGUGGGCUGCGUUGCAGUGAUGGGUAACCAGGUUUCCUUUUCCAGAUGACCUUCCAUCAGUGCCCGUGUUUGACAGAACUCUGCCAGUGAAGCAAAUGCAUGUGCUUGAGACCCUGGACCUUCUGGUUCUCAGAGCAGACAAAGGAAAAGAUGCUCGCCUCUUUGUCUUCAGGCUAAGUGCUCUGCAAAAGGGCCUUGAGGGGAAGCAGGCUGGGAAGAGCAGGUCUGAAUGCAGAGAAAACAAGUUGGAGAAAACAAAAGGCUGCCACCUGUAUGCUAUUAACACUCACCACAGCAGAGAGCUGAGGAUUGUGGUUGCAAUUCGGAAUAAACUGCUUCUGAUCACAAGAAAACAC
rnacentral:sRNA from 1 species